rnacentral:rRNA from 1 species
GACGAACGCUGGCGGCGUGCUCAACACAUGCAAGUCUAACGGUAAGGCCCUUCGGGGUACACGAGUGGCGAACGGGUGAGUAACACGUGGGUGAUCUGCCCUGCACUUCGGGAUAAGCCUGGGAAACUGGGUCUAAUACCGGAUAGGACCCUGGGAUGCAUGUCCUGGGGUGGAAAGCUUUUGCGGUGUGGGAUGGGCCCGCGGCCUAUCAGCUUGUUGGUGGGGUGAUGGCCUACCAAGGCGACGACGGGUAGCCGGCCUGAGAGGGUGACCGGCCACACUGGGACUGAGAUACGGCCCAGACUCCUACGGGAGGCAGCAGUGGGGAAUAUUGCACAAUGGGCGCAAGCCUGAUGCAGCGACGCCGCGUGAGGGAUGACGGCCUUCGGGUUGUAAACCUCUUUCAGCACCGACGAAGCGCAAGUGACGGUAGGUGCAGAAGAAGGACCGGCCAACUACGUGCCAGCCGCCGCCGCGG